GACGAACGCUGGCGGCGUGCUUAACACAUGCAAGUCGUACGGUAAGGCCCUUUCGGGGGUACACGAGUGGCGAACGGGUGAGUAACACGUGAGUAACCUGCCCACAACUUUGGGAUAACGCUAGGAAACUGGUGCUAAUACUGGAUAUGUGCUCCUGCUGCAUGGUGGGGGUUGGAAAGCUCCGGCGGUUGUGGAUGGACUCGCGGCCUAUCAGCUUGUUGGUGGGGUAGUGGCCUACCAAGGCGGCGACGGGUAGCCGGCCUGAGAGGGUGACCGGCCACAUUGGGACUGAGAUACGGCACAGACUCCGACGGGAGGCAGAAGUGGGGAAUAUUGCACAAUGGGCGCAAGCCUGAUGCAGCAACGCCGCGUGCGGGAUGACGGCCUUCGGGUUGUAAACCGCUUUCAGCAGGGACGAAGCUUUUUGUGACGGUACCUGCAGAAGAAGCACCGGCUAACUACGUG
rnacentral:rRNA from 1 species